CCUCACCUUCAGGAUCUCCCCAGAGUUCUCUCCAGAGACCAAGCUCAGGCCACUUGGAGGCCUCUGACAGAUUUCCAGGAAUGUGCUCAUUCUCCCAGAACACCAUACUUGAACAGAGGUGAGCCCAGGGUCAACUCAAUGCGGAUAUAUCAUGGUGCUCAACGUGCUUUGGGGAAGCAGAAAAUUCAUCCUCAACUAGAAGCUGACCCUUCCCCUCUUCCCCGAAAAAAUCAACUCAGGAAACGUUCAGCUAUGAGAUGAAAUCUGGCAUUUUGCGACAAUAUGGACAAUGGGAGGAGAGAUCAUCUAAGGCUGCAGACACUUGCAGGGGGCCCGUCAAUAAUCAGGGAAGGACAGCAGGGGACUCACCUUGGUCGCCAGGAGCCUGUUCCUUAGCCACUCCUCCCUGGCCCAGAGGCAGAGAGAACACAAGGAUCAAAGCAUCGGACAGAUAGCCAACUCUUUUAGCCCCAAGAACUGUGGCCAACGACUUUUCAGAAAUGACAGCCUGGUACCACUUGGGGGCUGGACCCAUCAUGCGAAACGGGCCACCACCUGCACACAGCACUUUCGUACAGAGUCGGAGGAGCACUUGACAUGGAUUCCAAAUUUAGGUGCUGGAUCAACUUACCCAAACAUGACUGCAGAUUUCCCUAAGCAGUAUGAAUUUGAAUGGCCACAGGACACAAUCAAGUUUAAAAGCAGCACAUCUAUUAAAACUGAAACAAUACAGAAAAGAUUAGCAUGACCCCUGGGAAAGGAUGAUACUCAAAUUUGUGAAGUGCUCCAUAUUUUUAAAACUCAGGUAUGUGGGUUUUGUGACCAAAAUCUCCAGGCUCUCAAAGUUGGGAAUGGGUGACCUCCCCUCACCCCCUGUUCUUCUGGGAACCUGGAAGUCACCCACAAACUGCCUCUGGUACCAUAUAAGCUCAAUAACCGGCCAUGAUCCAGAGACACAUAUAUAAAUCUCGGAAGAGAUCAACAAGCAGCAGAGAUGCCUCUGGACCCCAAAGUCACCAUCCAGUUCAAAAGUUCAACUCCAGCUGUUCCACCUUAUUUAAAAUUUUAGAUUUCCUGGUGCGCUAUACUAUACUCAUACUCUAUACCACUGAUAUACCAGGAAUAGCACACCACACUGGAUGGAUGUAAAGAAGAAAGCAACCGAUCUCAGUUAAAAAAUAAUAUGUUAGUAAUGUCUUCAAUAAGAGCUUAAUGGCUCCAGGGAGAUACAACAAUUGUCACAUAUUCUUCAAAGGAAACCUUUUUUUGAUCAUUUUUAGCAAAUUAUUCAUGACAAGCAAUAACUGACUUAUUUAGGGCCUGCUUUGAGAAAGGCUUGGA